UUGUCUUUGUCUUUCUCUUUCCUCUCACUUGCAGAUCAAGAGAGAAGAAGAUGACUCAACAAUUGCUAAGGCCUAAAAGGCAAAGGAAUAGGCCAAGGCUAACUAAAGGAAAUUGCACUGGAAGAAAGAUUCAAUGGAUCAAAGAUCUCACCUGUAGUUCCAAGAGAACUUCAGAGUCAUGGAAGUGAAGGUAAAUUCGCACUUCUAUGGAUAAAUAUAAGUGCUAGCUGCAAUUAAAUGUAGUCAAUCAAUAUGAAAUGGCAACAUUCAUUUACUUUUAUGUCUAGACACUGUGGCGGAUGAAGGACAAACUUGACGGGGUCAAUUGUACCCAUUAUUUUCAACACGGAGCAUGAACUAAUAUACUAUUUAAAAAGCGUAGGAUUCAAUAGUAAAAUCUAGAGGUUGAAUCCACGAAAUUUAAAUCUUGAAUCUGCCUCUUUGGCUAGAACUUAAGGGUAGUUGCAGAACCAGUGUCCUUUAGUGUUUUUGUGUGUGUGUGUGUGUAUAUAUACACACACAAGCGUUGAGAUUAUUCUACACGUAGGUAGGUAAUAUUGGGAAAUUUGCUAGGUCGUUUUCUGGGAUAGUUCUAUAUAUGUGAGAUAUGACAAAGUGAACCUUCAGAACUUCAUCUUGGAAGUUCACUGCUUUUCUAAGUGUCAUUCCAUCUAUUCUACAAGUUAGCAAACACCUAGAAAAUGAAAAAGAAGAACGGUAUCAUCAAUUGAGCAUAAUUACAAGUCGCAGCUUGAGCUGCAGUUAUAUAGAGACCCUUCUACACUACUAAAAGGAUAAAUGCUAAAGUUCGCAUUUAUAUCUAAUUCCGUUUGUUUUGAUCGGCUUUAACUUGUAGAAAAAGUGUGCAGUACUUAGGAUUCAACAUUGUAGUUAUGUAAUGUCUUCUCAACAUAUAGACAACCUUACAUAUUACACUAGAGAAAGUGGAACUUCAUAUCUACAAUCUGAGCCACUGCUUUUGUUGAGUAUCUGCAAAUGGAUGAUACGCCGUUCAGAAAGUUUCCACUAAGAAAUUAUCUUAUAUGAUUCUUUAAAUUUUCAACAUGGCAAGAUUAGUAAAUUACAAAGACAUAAAUUUUACAAUCUCAACUCGACCAACAUUUUGGAAAAGAAUAUUAUAUAUCAUUAUUCAUUCAUUUGGGAUUGGGAAGCUUUUAAAAAAGCUUAAAGCCUUAGACCAUGCUAAUUCAGUUCUAAAAGAGAAUACUGCAUGAUCUUACUCUAUCUCGAGUCUAGGAUUCCAAAUAUAGUUCUUCUUGACCAUACAAGACUGAGUGAAAUAUUGGUUACACACCUGUAUAGCUUUAUAAGAUGGUCCAAGUUCAUUAAAUCAAGUGCCAUAAUCAAAACGCUUGAGGCAGAAAGCAAGUUUUACAUUCAUAUUGUAGCAAAUUUUACAUUCAUAUUGUGAAAGUUUUGACUUUAAUCACUCAUGAAACACAAUAGGAAAGCCAUUGAUGUUGCCUAUAAUUUGUGGAGACUUGCUGUAAUUUCUAUAUAGGUAGGGUAACUUUUGGUACCGUAGCAUGUAUGUUUACAUUUUCAGAUUUAAGUGCUUCAUAAAAUUGUACUAUUCUUAGCGAUAAAACUUUAUAUGUGAAUUAAAGCAAAAUUUUAUAGCACAAUGUACUAUUACCAUGA